rnacentral:rRNA from 1 species
CCCUUUAAUGUUUGAUGUUCUAACGUAGGCCCCUUAUCGGGGUUGCGGACAGUGUCUGGUGGGUAGUUUGACUGGGGCGGUCUCCUCCUAAAGAGUAACGGAGGAGCACGAAGGUUGGCUAAUCCUGGUCGGACAUCAGGAGGUUAGUGCAAUGGCAUAAGCCAGCUUGACUGCGAGCGUGACGGCGCGAGCAGGUGCGAAAGCAGGUCAUAGUGAUCCGGUGGUUCUGAAUGGAAGGGCCAUCGCUCAACGGAUAAAAGGUACUCCGGGGAUAACAGGCUGAUACCGCCCAAGAGUUCAUAUCGACGGCGGUGUUUGGCACCUCGAUGUCGGCUCAUCACAUCCUGGGGCUGAAGUAGGUCCCAAGGGUAUGGCUGUUCGCCAUUUAAAGUGGUACGCGAGCUGGGUUUAGAACGUCGUGAGACAGUUCGGUCCCUAUCUGCCGUGGGCGCUGGAGAACUGAGGGGGGCUGCUCCUAGUACGAGAGGACCGGAGUGGACGCAUCACUGGUGUUCGGGUUGUCAUGCCAAUGGCACUGCCCGGUAGCUAAAUGCGGAAGAGAUAAGUGCUGAAAGCAUCUAAGCACGAAACUUGCCCCGAGAUGAGUUCUCCCUGACCCUUUAAGGGUCCUGAAGGAACGUUGAAGACGACGACGUUGAUAGGCCGGGUGUGUAAGCGCAGCGAUGCGUUGAGCUAACCGGUACUAAUGAACCGUGAGGCUUAACCUUACAACGCCGAAGGUGUUU